AUUCCAGCUCCAAGAGCGUAUAUUAAAGUUGUUGCAGUUAAAAAGCUCGUAGUUGGAUUUCUGGUCUAAUGCGCCUGGCCCGCUGCCGUUAGGUAUGUGAGUGCCGGUGCGCGUUUACCAUCCUUCCAGAGAACACUUCUACCAUUUAUUUGGACGGAUGUUGUCUUCUGGAUCUUUUACUUUGAAAAAAUUAGAGUGUUUAAAGCAGGCCUUUGCUGUGAAUACAUUAGCAUGGAAUAAUAAUCUAGGACUUCGGUUCUAUUUUGUUGGUUUCUAGUACUGAAGUAAUGAUUGAUAGGGAUAGUUGGGGGUGCUAGUAUUGGCCGGCCAGAGGUGAAAUUCUUGGAUUCGGUCAAGACUAACUUAUGCGAAAGCAUUCACCAAGGACGUCUUCAUUG
rnacentral:rRNA from 1 species